GCGGUAGUUUUGUGACUCAGUGCUUCAUGAGCGUUCCAUUCCGUUAGCCUUACACUGUAGCUCUUUGACUCAUCUGGAUUUCUCUAGUGCUUUGAGAGAGGGUGUGUGAGUGUGUGUGUGUGUGUGUGUGUGUGUGAAUGUGGGGGAGGCAGGUUUGCUGUGUUUCUGGUCUGUUUCUGGCCCAUUUGUUCAUUUUUCAGCUCUGUGUUUAUAGCUGGUAGGAGAAUGAAGGGGAAAUGCUGCCAGAGCUCCGGCAGGCACUGUGUGGGCUUCAGUAGCAGAGUCGUCGUGCAGGCUGCGCCCAAAAAGGUCGCCGGAGGAAGAGCCGGGCCGAGUGAGGAAACGGACGGCUGCUAUGGCUUCAGGUAUCAGCUGUUGGAAACUUUGUGCUGCAUCUAAUUCUUUGAAGUGUUUAGGAAGUUAGGGUGGUGUGCAUAUGGAGUUUCAUGGUCAAUAGUGAUAACCAAUAAUUAACUCUUUGUUUUCGGGAAACACUGAUACCAAAAAACUAUAUACAGUACCAGUAAAAAGUUUGGACACCAGUCUUCUGUUUUUAUUUCUUUUCUUUCCUACAUUGUAAAAUGAUAAUGAAGUCUUCCAGACUAUAAAGGAACACAUAAUGAAUCAUGUAGAAAAGUGUUAAAGUGGUCUUUGCAGCUGCACUUGAGGAUACUUUUAUAAGUCUAUGAAAUGUAUCAGAUUGACAGACCUUUAUUUCUUAAUGUUAUAUUUGUCUGUAUUUAGUUGAGUAGUUCCUUAUAUUGUGGAUAUAUUCCUUAUAUUAUAUCUGGAUUAGAACAUUACUCAAAUAGAGCUAUUCACUGUAUACCUGUAACUCUACCUCUUCACAACUUUACAACUGAUGCUCUCAAACACAUUAAGAUACAAGAAAUUCAAAUAAUUAACUCUUGGUGAGUUCAGCACAGCUGUUAACUGAAAGCCUGAAUUCCAGGUGACUCUACCUCAUAAAGCUGACUGAGAAAAUCCAGCCAAGAUGUGUAAAACCGCCAUCUAAGCAAGAGGUGCUACUUUGAAGAAUCUAAAAUCUAAAACAUAUUCUGGUUUGUUGAACACUGUUUUGUUUACAAAAUAAUUCCAUAUGUUUUUCUUCAUAGUUUGGAUGAUUUUAGUAUUAAUCUACAAUACAGGACAUUUUUAAAUUAUUAAAGAUCCACUUCCAUGCACACAGAUGCUGUUGCAGAUAUAUAUAUAUAUAUAUAUAUACAGUAUAUAUACAUAUAUAUAUACACUGACAUGCCAAAAGUCAUCAGAAUUUUUUUAAUUAGGUAACUGUGAACUUUGAUCUAGAAACACAUUAAUUUAAGUAACUUUAAGCUGUAGUCUUAUUUUAUCUUUAAUACUCAUUUUAUUUAAGCAUUUAUGUUUCAAAAGUAAAAAAUCAUAAAAAAGAAAUAAAACACAUUGAAUAAGAACA
rnacentral:lncRNA from 1 species